UGGACGAUCUGUGGAUGUGAGAGGAUGUUUGAGUAGAUGAAAAAUUUUAUCGCGUUCAUGAGUGAACCAAGGCUUUUCGCGUUCUCGAGCAAAACAACAAAUCUCUUGAGGAGUCGAGAGUUUGCUCGAGAUGCUAUUUUGUCUUGGUUUAUUCGCUAUACUUGUGUAUGAAACAGUGUUUGCAAGUGGUUGUUCUGUUAGUAAAUCCCACUCAGUAUGGUGUAGACGAAUUUUCUUAGAGUCUUGUGGUUAGUAUUGUGAGAUACAGACACUGAAGCUCAUAUACCCUUUAGCUGCACAUGCUAACAAAAGACACAGUUCUUCAGAUAAAUA